UACGAAGGGGGCUAGCGUUGUUCGGAAUUACUGGGCGUAAAGCGCACGUAGGUUGAUUGUUAAGUCAGGGGUGAAAUCCCGGAGCUCAACUCCGGAACUGCCCUUGAUACUGGCAAUCUCGAGUCCGGAAGAGGUAAGUGGAAUUCCCAGUGUAGAGGUGAAAUUCGUAGAUAUUGGGAAGAACACCAGUGGCGAAGGCGGCUUACUGGUCCGGUACUGACACUGAGGUGCGAAAGCGUGGGGAUCAAACAGG
rnacentral:rRNA from 1 species